rnacentral:rRNA from 1 species
AUUGAACGCUGGCGGCAGGCUUAACACAUGCAAGUCGAACGAGUGGCGGCCGGGUGAGUAAUGCUUGGGAAUCUAGCUUAUGGAGGGGGAUAACUACGGGAAACUGUAGCUAAUACCGCGUACCAUAGGAUGAGCCCAAGUGGGAUUAGGUAGUUGGUGAGGGAAAGGCUCACCAAGCCGACGAUCUCUAGCUGGUCUGAGAGGAUGACCAGACACACUGGGACGGAGAAACGGCCCAGACUCCUCCGGGAGCCAGCAGUGGGGAAUAUUGCGCAAUGGGGGCAACCCUGACGCAGCCAUGCCGCGUGUAUGAAGAAGGCCUUCGGGUUGUAAAGUACUUUCAGGCGGGAGGCGUUACCGACAGAAGAAGCACCGGCUAACUCCGUGCCAGCAGCCGCGGUAAUAC